AUACUUACCUGGCAGGGAAGAUGCCAUGACCAUGAAGGUGGUUUGCCCAGGGCGAGGCUCACCCAUUGCCCUCCAGAUGUGCUUCCCUGUGAUUUCCCCAAAUUUCAGAAACUUGACUGCAUAAUUUGUGGUAGCGAAAGACAGUUUUUGUACUUUCCUGAG